AUGAUUUGCAGCUAAUUUGUACCAUGGAAGCAAACGUGCAAGGCCCAUAGUACAGGAGAUCAGAACCCCUGUCUGGUUAACAAAAUGUUUCCAGUAGCUGUCACUCAGGUUGUUCAAUUCAUCCAUUUCCCAUGCAUCUCUGCCUCUUAAAAGAUGUUCUUGAGCUUAAAGUGUAUUUAUAAAUUUUAAUUAAGUCAGUCUAAUAAUACUCUUUGAGAGGUAGAAGCUCUCUUCGUCCACCACUAAGAUGCAGCUACUCUUUUUAAAAGUGAACAGGAAUGCUACUGAACAGUUUUGGGCAGGAAAUAAACACUGUCUUAGGCAGUUGAAAGCUUAGGUAGGCAGAGAGGAUCUGGAAAGUGUCCAGAAGGCUGAUGCACAGAGAAAAUGGCCAGGAACUCUGGUUUACAUCUUAUCUGAAGGCUUACUCCGUUAGCAUUGAAGUUCCUCCCUUCAUACCAUGCUUGGUCAUAUAGGCCCAUAAAAGAAACAUGAGACCUUUUGAAUCACUCUCCCCACUUCCUGCAGCACCCAAAUAUUUUUGGGAGAUAUUCUCUGCAGAUAGAGACUGGACAUGACCCCACUUCAAUCUGAAUUCUGAUGAAGUCUAAAGACUUUAAAAAUGAUCUUGACAGACGAAAAACCAAUCAGUGACUAAAACUGGAAAUUUCAAGUCUUAUUGCCAUCCUCAAUGGCACCAGUUCAAAAAGUUUCUCCUAGCUCUGCACUUAUCAAAUCAAAGUCUUACUGUUACCAGGAUAAUCUACUUUAAAGCAUUGGGAAGGAUGAAGUAUCUGCGAGGGUGCAUUUAGCUGGGGGAUCCUCUUAACAAAUCUGAGCUCGGCAUUAGUCCUUUUGAAAAGUGGAGCUGAGCUUAUCUGAUCCUUAACAGGACAAAUACCACCCUUAUUAAUCCAGACACCAGAAAACUUUUGGGAAGCUUAGAUUUAGAGUGUGAACCUGUGUAAUUGUGGCAGGGGUAACUCGUUCUUUCUUUGGUUGAUCUCAUGACAACUUCAGAUGGCAAAAUGUCAGGAAAAAUGACUAGAAUUGCAGAAGUCUUCUGCCCUCUACAACCUGUGCACAGUCAAACUUCAGUGCAAGAGGAGGAGGAGGUGGCACAGCACACCUGCAGUAGGAAAAUAUCCACUCUAUUCAGUCCAAAAGAGAAGGAUUUAAACUUGUCUGUUUCUAUUAUUAAAGUAAAAACUUUGCAGAAGCAAGAGCAAAUGUAUGUGCAGAACUUUAUGUGUACCUGAGCAUUUAGUGUGCUUCUGAGACGGGAAUAGGUGCCAGAAGCUGUCUGAUAUAUUUUUGGGUGGAAUUAAAUUAGCUUCACUUGUAAAAAUAGAAAUGAUUUGGUAGAGUAAACUAUAUCCAUCAAUGGAAAAGAAGUGGUCAGAUGGGAAAGUAUAAUAUGACUGGCUCAGGCAAAAGGCCUUUUUUUCCCAAUUACAAUUAAUUUCAGUGGACUUGGGCCUACAAGCCCCUGGCCUUGGGCACUUUUCACAUCAUAACAGUUGUGGGGAGGGAAAAUGCAGAGAUGAAAUGCAGCCAUUCAAAACUAGCCCAAAGCUGUUCUAGCAAAUAGACAGACUUUUCUCAUUUUCAUGAAACCAUUGAAUAUAUGAAUUUCCCUGGAUUCACUUUUUUGUGCCAAAGAAGUCAACAUAGUUCAUCCUGGCAUGUUCAAAAUUGGAAGGAUCUGAUUGACAGAAGAGGGAGAUGGCAGAUUCAGAAUAUUCAAAUCUUGCUGUUGCACAGUUCACUGCAAUAUAAAAGGUACACACACAAAGGAAUACUGCUGACAGUCCAUCCAUUGCACUGUGCCAUAUAUACUUACUUUACAUUCCCUUUAAAAUAAUUUUGUGGUUUUCUGUUUUACUGCUUCAUAAUUAUCUUUUAAACUUCAUAUUGUAUUUUCAUAUUUUAAGCUAGAUUCUUUGUGGGUCAUAUUUUAAAACUAGAGCCAUGCAUAUGGAACAUUCUAACUGUAUUUUCUCUUCCUUUAAAUGUCCCUCUCACUAAGUUGUAAUUUCAUGCUUUGCAUUGAGUGUGUCCAGAAACAAAAUUCACUUAUGUUGUGCACUGAAACAUGGCGUACAGAUAUCCAAAUCCUUCAACAAACUAGGGCAUGUCAUGGAAGCAGCCUCUUCCCCAAUGCAUCUGUUGAGGGAGCGUUUUGCUUUGAAAUUUUUUAAUAAUAUAUAGGUACGCUGCUAUGUGUUUAUGUCAGAGAGGGCCAAGCCAAAGGCAGUGCCCUGCACUCACAGCAGAGACAUCAGCGUUGGUCCUCAGCUGCUGGGGGAUUUCACAGUCAGGGACCCAUCCCUGUGGAAAGGUGGUAGAAAUAGCCCUUUGCUUCUUCUCUUCUUUGUGCAGGUGACAUGGAGAUCUUCCCCUGGUGCUCCCCUGAGGGGAGGUCAGAAGAAGCUCUGACCUGCCCACGGAGGCCAGUCCAAAAAAGAAGGCAACUGGGAGAUGAAGAGACCUCCUCCACCCUCCUGUCUGUGUCUGGGGAAAUGGGCUUCCAGUUUCAGUUCUACUAAGCCUGAUAAUUUUGGGUGUCUGGUACGGUCAUCCCAAACAGCUGCUCCAUCUCUGGGUUGGACAACAGUGGGCUCUGCCAGUGUCCUGCACAAAGGAGAGUGGAGUGAGGAGCCUGCUGCAGACCCACCUCUUCUUCCAAAAGAGAGCAGGCGGGGACCUGACCUUCCCCAAGUCCCAAGAUAUAAUAGGAAUAAUUACCAUGAGGCACAAUGGGGAAACGGAGUCUAACACCCUGACUGAGGCUGAAUCACACCAGAGCCUGCAUUAGUCAAGCUUUGACUGAGGAAUACCCAAAAAAUUUCAAAGUUAUUUCCUCUGAAGAAGACACUGCAAGGGCAGGAGUUCAUUUUGCCAAAUAAGUAUUAUCCAAUACUCGGGAAGUAUUGGCAUUUCACAACCUUAAGCGACAAAAUCCAUUUAAUACCAGGAGUCAGGAUUUCUUGCUCCCUCAGUACCCUGCCAGCUCCAGCCUGUGCCAAAGCCACUAUUGCCAAGGGGAUAAUGAGCAUGAAGGACUUCUAAUGUAUAAAUUGCGAUCGUAAGAACAAAGGCAAGUCAAGCUUUCCUCCAGAUUAUGAUCUUCAAAGUCAGAAAAAGAGCUACAUCCGUGUUCAACUGUUCCAUACGGUAUUUCCUCUAAUUGAGAUCAGCUGAAAUAAUCUCAAUGAAGUUGUACAAUAUGGAAGAUUCCCUGCCAUGGAGGAUUUAUAUGCCUCGACUGUAAGUGACAGUAUAGUCUUGCAAGCCCAGUUGCAUGUUUAUCCAUUACCUCCCUGCCAAUGCUGCUCCUUAGAGAGAUGGUGCUGUAAGAUUUUGGAUGCUAAGAAUAAUAAAAUGGCAUUUUCCAGUAACCUAUAGUUUGCCUCUGCCAAAGCAACGAUGCGUCACUUGGAUGCCAAAAAGCACUGAAACAGGAAGAGUUGCUGUUGGGUCCCAGCAUGGUGACUUCAUCACAGGCCUCAGCUUCAAACUGUGGAGUAAUAAAACUGAAUAGCACAAUAUAAAACUCCAUGUUUCAUAAGACAAAUAUUGCUUUACGCAUUCAUGUCCCUUGUACUAUGUUAACUGUAGGAAGAAAUGGAAUACAGUUUUAGUGACCCCCUGGGACCUAUAAAGGCUAUUUCUGAGUCUGAAUCUUGCUGUUUAAUUUAAUCAUUUAUUAUAUUAAUAUUCAAAUGGGCUGCAUCUUAUUAGCUACUGCAAAGAUGUUAGUAUGUCUGAAAUAAAUACCUAAUUAUGCUUUUGAAGAGAGAGGUUCUAAAGACUUUUGUACAUUUGUGCUAAUAGAACAGUUCAUUUGCAGAUUUUUUCUGCAGAAAUCAGCAGUCUGAGCGUUUUGUUUUUUUUUUUCCCCUCCUUACUUUGAAUAAAAUAAGAACACAGAUCAAAUAUACCAUUGUGAUUCCUAAAUAGCACAUACGAGUUUUCCCCUUUGUACUGUGAGAAUUCAUUCUCCCAGCGAGUGAGUUAUACAGUAGCAAACUGACCAGUGCCCUCAGCUUCCAGCUCAAUAACACAUUAAU